CAGCAAAUGGGACAGUGGAAUAUCCAACUGGAAAUACGUUUGGAGAAGUAGCAUUCGUUUCGUGUGAUGAUCAAUUCAUAUUGUUCGGCUCUCGAUACAUUGUUUGUCAAUCAAAUCAAACCUGGACUUCUUAUCCUUCUUGUAUACGAGAUUGUGGAGAUCCAAGUCUACUUCAUGGAACAGCCAUAACCUCAAAUGGUACAACUGCUGGUUCGACAGCUUUUAUUUCUUGCUCUGAAGGAUACAAUAUGAGCGGUUCUUCGACUAUUACAUGCACUUCAGAUGGAUGGGAUUCUCUACCGACAUGUUCUAUUCAAGAAUGCAGUGAUCCAAAACCAGCCAAUGGCUCUGUGAACUUGCCACACGGUGUAAAGUUCGGCUCUAUUGCUUUCAUAUCUUGCAACGAAAACUACGUUUUACAAGGAGACGCUCAAAUCACAUGUGUGAAUGGUUCUGUUUGGAGUUCAACCCCUAAGUGUAUAAGAGAUUGUGGUGAUCCUAGUCCCACAUAUGGGUAUGCAAAUAUAGCAACUGGUACCACAGAGGGCAGCCAAGCCCAACUGUUGUGUAACACUGG